GCAAUGGUGGCUCAGUGGUAGAACUCUCCCCUUCCACGUGGGAGACCCAGGUUCAAUUCCUGGCCAAUACA
rfam:Loxodonta africana unplaced genomic scaffold scaffold_59, whole genome shotgun sequence.